CACUACGAUGUUGCCACUCUUUAAUUUCUUCACUUUCUUGGUAGACUAUACAGUCACGCAUUCUGUCCAAAAACUAGUGAGUACGGGGCCUUACUUGUUGUAGUUCCUUUCCUAAAGCAAAGUCACAUUCCUUCAUUGCAUUGCGUUGCUUAGCGAGAUAUUUGAAACAUCUUCUUCUUCAUCAAUUAAUUAAUGAAGUUUCUGCAUUAAUUAGUUGAUGAAGAAGAAAUUUUUUUGACAGACUAUACAGUACAAUACAGUAAGUACAUGUCAAGUAAAUAAUUUAGCACACAUUUCGGAUUUGUGACUAUGGAGUUUUGUGACGCCACUUUCUCUCAGCAAUUUUUUUCUGAAGGAACUAUCGGCAGCACAUGACAAGUAAAAUAAUAAACAGCAAGUUAUGGAUUGCUGACACCAGUUCGCAGCACCUUAGUUGCGCACGUUCCCUAUAAGUGGGCAUGGGCCAUGGCAGUGUUUGAUCUGGCAUAUUUAGAAUUAAUUUUAAAAUUACACAAAUGAUACGUACAAAUCCACUUUAUAUUUAGUUCCUGUUUCUAAGACCAUAUUAUUAAUGUGUACUAUGAUUUCAUUUAAUAUUUUCACAAUCAAUUUAAGUAUUAAGAACUCAUAUUUGUGAAUUGUAAUCUAUGACACAGAUUAGGCAUAACUACAGAACUUUAUAAUUUUGGCUUUGUUUUGCACAAAACUGCACAAAGUGCACCUAUAUCACGCAUUCUGUCCAAAAACUAGUGAGUACGGGGCCUUACUUGUUGUAGUUCCUUUCCUAAAGCAAAGUCACAUUUCUUCAUUGCAUUGCGUUGCUUAGCGAGAUAUUUGAAACAUCUUCUUUUUCAUCAAUUAAUUAAUGAAGUUUCUGCAUUAAUUAGUUGAUGAAGAAGAAAUUUCUUCAGCAAUUCGUUUCUUUUCCAUUCGAUGCAUCGGCGGCUGGGCGCAUCGCAUUUUGCCAACGCAACGAUACCGCUAACGGCGUUUUGAUUGAGCGAUGCUGUGGCCGCACCGCCAAUAGAAACCAAGCAACGCAAAAAAGCAAUGUGACAACGCUAAAACUAUAUUUAUUUUACUGAUGAUAUACUACAUAAGAACGCAAGUUAAGACUUUUAAUUUAUUAUGUCGCCAGAAAUAUUUUGUCGCAGCAAAAGCACAACUUGUUAUUACUUAGAUACUUAUACAUUCUUUUACAAGUAUUUCUAUUAUGUUUAGGAUGCCUACAAACUUAAUUUCUACAUGAAUAAUAAAUAUAUACUAUUUUCA